rnacentral:rRNA from 1 species
GGAUUCCCCUAGUAACUGCGAGUGAAGCGGGAAGAGCUCAAAUUUAAAAUCUGAUGUGCCUCUGGCCGUCCGAAUUGUAGUCUGGAGAAGCGUUUUCCGUGUUGGACCGUGUAUAAGUCUCUUGGAACAGGGCGUCAUAGAGGGUGAGAAUCCCGUCUUUGACACGGACUACCAAUGCUUUGUGAUGCGCUCUCAAAGAGUCGAGUUGUUUGGGAAUGCAGCUCAAAAUGGGUGGUAAAUUCCAUCUAAAGCUAAAUAUAGGCGAGAGACCGAUAGCGAACAAGUACCGUGAGGGAAAGAUGAAAAGCACUUUGGAAAGAGAGUUAAACAGUACGUGAAAUUGCUGAAAGGGAAACGCUUGAAGUCAGUCACGUCUGCCAGGACUCAGCCUUGCUUUUGCUUGGUGCACUUUCUGGUUUGAUGGGCCAACAUCAAUUUUGACCGUUGGAGAAAGGCAUUGGGAAUGUGGCACCUUCGGGUGUGUUAUAGCCCUUUGUUGUAUACAGCGGUUGGGAUUGAGGACUGCAGCAUGCCUUCAUGGCCGGGGUUCGCCCACGUACAUGCUUAGGAUGUUGGCAUAAUGGCUUUAAGCGACCCGUCUUGAAACACGGACCAAGGAGUCUAACAUGCCUGCGAGUGUUUGGGUGGAAAACCCAUGCGCGUAAUGAAAGUGACAGCUGAGAUCCUCUCAUCAGGAGCAUCAGCGCCUGGACUUGAUCUACGGAGACAGUUCUACGGUAGAGCAUGUAUGUUGGGACCCGAAAGAUGGUGAACUAUGCCUGAAUAGGGUGAAGCCAGAGGAAACUCUGGUGGAGGCUCGUAGCGAUUCUGACGU